rnacentral:rRNA from 1 species
UCUUACGGGAGGCAGCANUGGGGAAUAUUGCCCAAUGGGNGCAACCNUGANCCAGCCAUGCCGCGUGNNUGAAGAAGCCNUUCGGGUUGUAAACCACUUUCAGCGGGGAGGAAGUNNUUGAGGUUAAUACCAUCAUCAAUGGACGUUACUCGCAGAAGAAGCACCGGCUAACUCUGUGCCAGCAGCCGCGGUAAUACAGAGGGUGCAAGCGUUAAUCGGAAUUACUGGGCGUAAAGCGCGCGCAGGCGGUCAGUUAAGUCAAAUGUGAAAUCCCCGGGCUCAACCUGGGAACUGCAUUCGAAACUGGCUGGCUAGAGUGUGGUAGAGGGGGGUAGAAUUCCAGGUGUAGCGGUGAAAUGCGUAGAGAUCUGGAGGAAUACCGGUGGCGAAGGCGGCCCCCUGGCCUAACACUGACGCUCAGGUGCGAAAGCGUGGGGAGCAAACAGGAUUAGAUACCCUGGUAGUCCACGCCGUAAACGAUGUCGACUUGCAGGUGGUGCCCUUGAGGCUUGGCUGCCGGAGCUAACGCGUUAAGUCGACCGCCUGGGGAGUACGGCCGCAAGGUUAAAACUCAAAUGAAUUGACGGGGGCCCGCACAAGCGGUGGAGCAUGUGGUUUAAUUCGAUGCAACGCGAAGAACCUUAC